AACAGCCAUGUGAUCACGGAUAAUCCCACAGCAAGCACUGAGGCUCCAGGUGGGUAUCAAAGAUCAUAGAAUCAGAGACUAGCUUAGGUUGGAGAAGACCAUCGAUCUGAUGCCCUGGGAACCUAUUUGAUCACUGGCUUGUCAAGCCCGGCUGCAGCUGCAGGACCAAAUGAAAAUACACUACAGCAAUAACAACAACAACAAAUGACAGCAGCAAAAACCACAGCACUAAUAAUGUCUGUGCCUUUUAUUUGUGGGCUCGCUCAUUCAUUGGUAGCUAAUGCAUAUCUAAUAACUGCUAUUUCCAAUGGCCAUUAAGAUGUUCAAAAGCUUAUUAGGGGCAGAGUUAUUGCAUGGCCAGGGAGGAACCACCUUCUGUGCCUGAUUAGCACAGAGCUCAGCUUGUGCCCCCAAUCACACACUGCACCUGUGAGCCUCUUCCCAAGUCGCCCAGCAAUUGCCAUGAGCUCAUGGGCUCUCCCAAAAGCAGAGCUCCCCCUAUUCCUAAUGAGCCUCAUUUGUUCAAUACCAAGGCAAACAGCCAUUUCUUACAGGCAAUUACCCUACAUUUCCAAACGCACAAACACUAGGCUUGCAAAACUUAAGAAGUGUGUCAGACCACGGCUCUGAGAUGCAAUUUGCACUGAGUGACACUGGCUUGUAGAAACCUGCCUGCAUGAUUUGUGAUGCCAAAGGUUGCAAACUUACGCAAAACUAGUGAGCAAAAAUAAAACCCGUUUUCUUAUCACUGUUUUCUGCCUAAUCCUUGGGAAUGUGGUCUCUGCCCAGCUCAUGUGACAUACGGAGGGCAGCAGAAGGCAAGGGGGAUGCUCACGAGAGCAGGAAGUUUCUCAGUAGUUGUGCUGGAAUUUACAUCACGGUUGAAGAGUGAAUUCGUAUGUGGGCACAUCCAUCAUCUGCUGUGGCUUUUCCCCCACCAAACCCAUGUGAUUUUCUUAAGCCCUGUUUGUAAGAGCCAUACAGCACACGGCAGCACUGCCAUGCCCGACCCUCCUGCCAGGAGGCACCGUGUGUGGGUGCACCUCUGUGAACUUGUGCAAGAUCUGCUCUUGCAAAGGGGUGGGAGCCUGAAUUGCCCAAGGCACAGUGUGAGAACUGCUGCAGGAAUGCAGAGUAUUUGGGGCUGCUGAGCCUUCAUAUCAGCCAUUUUAUUUAUUCUCCUAUUAGGAAACAAUAGUAAAGCAGAAGAGAUGUUAUGUACUGUUACACACACCAAUCUUGCUAUCUACUAAUGGCAAAGAAACAGAAGAGCAGUGUUAGGAACCUAUGUGGUACCAGAACCCACAAGGCUUUGGCACCAGCAUGCCUGGGCUGGUGGUUGUCCUGCCUGCUGUGAGGAAAUGAUUUAACCACGUUCUGCUGGGACAGACCUUGUGCUGUGUUGCCAUUACAAACGUACGUCUUCAAAGAGAUUUCAGCCUGUUCCUUUCUAUGAGAACACACAUCACCUCAGCCUGGAGCCUUAAUUCACCCUUCUCUACCCUGGGGUGACACCAUCAGAGCCUAUCAGCCUCCUGGCGAUCUCAUUCCUGCCCCCUCUGACUGCAAAUUCUCCUUCAGGGUCACAAAGAACUCUCUGAUCCUCCAGGACCUGCCAGCUCCUGGCACUGCCCCAAUGGAUCUGACCAGGGCUUGCUGUGUGUCAGCCUUCACCUGGGGAGGAGGAGACCCUCCCUAAGAGCUGCACUGCCCGGAGCACAAUCCACAGCACAUCUCUGCCUAAUAGUAGCUCAAGGCUGUGGAGCUGCUCUCCUGCAGCCAGAGCCUUCUGGUGACUUUUCUCCCACUGAUUUUAUCAAGUUCAGAGGUUUCUCUCCAAAGCCUCAGGCUUUCCUACAGGCUUCUGCACAAAAACACCAAGGCUCUUUUCAGAGAAAACAAGUUUCCAAAUCAGCUUUUUUUUCUUUUUUAACAUGCUUUCUUGGAAGGACUUUGGAAGGACGCAGAAAGACUGGAACAGUGAGACAAGAUGGCAGAAGAGCCCAGCAGGAACCAAAGGGAACAGGACCCAAAAGAAUAAUGAGAGAAUAUAAAAGCUGAGGAUUUUUUGAGGGGAAAAGGGAAAGAAAAAGAAAACAAGAUUAAAAAGACAAAACAAUGGAAGAAUGAAGAGGGGAAUAGUAUAAGAAAAGGCACAGCAGGUGCUGUCACGCAGCCAAAGCGCUUUGAACCUCUGGCAUAACCAUCUCCCCUGUGGUUACACGCUGAUGUCAUAAAUUCAGAAUUAUGAUGACAAUGGAAGCUGCUGAAAAGGAGAAGCUGGGCAGGAAGGAAGGAGCCCCAUAAUGCUGACAUUUAUCUUCUUGAGAAACUGAAUCCUGAAUGAACAGCCCAGGCAAUUGAUUUUGCAGGGAAAACGUGCUUUCUUCAGUCUGCCUCCAGCAGGCACUUCCCUCUUUAACAUGUCUCAGAAGCACAAGGACGAUGACAAAACCAUCCAACAUGGCUGCAAAACUGAUCCAGCCUGUUAGUUUUUGUUCCUAUCCCCGAUGACAGCACAGCCUGAAGGAGAUUUCUCUAGUCUGCAGUCUGGAAUCUAGAACAAACUUAGCACAUACAGUGCUGAAAACUGGACUCCACAGAACAGCUGAACUUCCUUCCUUCUGGUUAAAACUCCAGGUAAUUCCACAGGUGACGUUUAGAAAUGAGCCGGCACUGGCACAAAUGAGAACAGGUCUACUAAAUUUAGUGCUAGAUGGGAGUUUUCUCCAAGCUGCCCUCAAUGUAAAUUAUCACAAUCAAUGUUUUAUUUAAAGAAAGUUGUUCCAUUAGGAAAAAUGAAACUACAGCAAAACUGUAUGAAUGCAGAGAAACAUAAAUCCCUCUCGACAGGAACACAAACCGCUGACGUUCUUACUCAUCUGGCAGUCAACUACACUCAUUCAGAAUCAGACAGACCCUGUUUCAGUUGUACUCACUCUCAAGAUCUGGUUCCUCACCUCCCACCUUUGGGGCUAUGCAGGGACCUGGAGCAUCUCUUCUGCGGGGCGGCCCUCUGCAAGGUGAGCAGCAUGGAAACGAUGAGGCUGCUACAGCACAGAGAGGAAUCCAGGCCAGUAAUGGAAGGAAAAGGCUGCUAUUUAGGCUUCUCACAAGUCUGUUUUUAUCACUAGUAAUUAAAGUGACAUUUUCCAUGCCAUCUGUAGAAAUUUUGAGGGUGCAGCCGAGUGAUCUGUCAACAGCGCUGGUUCCAGGGAUGUAGGAGAAAAAAACAACAGCUCCUGCUUCUCUGAGCUUGAGGAAAGGAAAAGUGGCAGCCUUUGCAGGAAAGGGGCUCCAGUCUCUUAUGAACUCUUGUCACCUGAAUCACUUUGAAGGGAAAGAGCAUAUUCUAAAUUUAAUUCUUUUGAAGAAUAGAUUUAACGAGCUUCUUAUAUAGGAAACACGACCUUGUAUUAAUUAAAGUAGCUUAAAAAAAAUACACUACCACCAAAUGUUUUCUUCGUGGUAUUUUAGCAUUUGAAAUGCAUGUUUUUUUUCUAAUUCACUAGCAUUGAAAAGGUAUUCAUUUCUUCUUACACUUCUCUCUUCUAUGUGCUUUAGCUUUUUGGUAGGUUUGUUUAAUACAGCACCUGAUUUUAUGGAGCUCAUCUGCAGAAAAUCAACACCUGCCGGAUUUUUAACAGCUUGUCAAACCUCAGCACUACCGUCAAUAUAUUAGUGAUAAUUAAUAUCCAGUUAAUAAUUCAAGUAAAACAUAUAAUUAAGUAGAGCAAGGCUGUAGUUUUGCUAUAAUGUUUGCCCUUUGGGAAUAAAAUAAAUAUCUGAAAAUAGUCAUAGGAGAUAAACAAAGCACAUGUAUUGCUUUCUGAAUGCUUUCAGACUGAGUUAACAGCUACCUUCAGCUCCAGGAGGUGAUCACUCAAAAAUUCUCAUGCUCGGGAAUAUAUAAGAACCUCAUUUUGGGCAAAUGUGGCAGAUUUACACCAAUAGAAAGAAACAUGGAAGGAGGGUGGGGAGGAAGGAGCUGAAAGGAGAAGCAAAGUCACAGAUAUUGAUGGUCUGGAGUCAAAGCAGCAGCACAAAUAAGGAUGCAAUAGGAAAACAGGAGUUCAGCCCCCAAAUGGACACUAGUUUUUUAAGCAGUUAAGGAGAGCAAGAUGUGCAGGCAACAUGUAACUAAGGUGGACGUGUUCUGGGAGCUGAAGAGCAAUGUUUGAUGUGAGGGAAAGAGAAGCAGAAAACAAGAACUGAAGCCUAAGAAAGCUGAAAGGGACAAGCUGAAUGUUUCAUAGAUGACAGCAACGACGAUGAAUCUCCUUUUUAAGCAAUCUAAACCUGCUCCAGUCAAGUUCAGAGGCAUAGAAGGGUGUGAAGCCCAGCCAUUCCUCCAAGCUUGAGAGCUAUCCUGUAUGGAAAGGCAGAAAAAAAAGACAACUGCUGCAGAAACAGCAUCAGAUGAAGGAACAUAGACAUAAGAGUCCUAAUUGCUGCUGAAAGAUUGAAAUAAGUUGAGAGAGAAACCCUUUCUUUCCCCUGGUCGGGUGGGGGGGGAGGGUAUGGAGGAAAGGAUGUUCCUGAGAAAAAUAGAUGCAAAGAACUGAAGAACAAGGGUAGAAAAACAGGGAAGAGCUGAAGAUUAUACAUAACAGUAGUUACAUUGUGUAGAAUUUCCUGGGUAAUGCAAAUAACUUUAACUGUCAUCAAACGGAUAUUUGGCUCCAAAAGUUACCAUUUGCCAGUUCUGCUAAUAACAUUUAUCUUGCUUUAAUAGAGGAACAAAGAGAUACUGAACAGUGAAAGUCAGAAACAGAGGAGCAGUAGGAACUCAUAUGGGAUGGGGCUGUUGAUAAUCCCCUUUGGUUAGUAUCCCUAGGAAUAAAUUCAGUUAUUUCUUCAAAGGAAUAAUAGCUUAAAGUGAAGAAGGGGAUCCCAAAUACUACCACAGAGGAGCACAGGAAAUAAGAGGUGGAAAAGGAACAGCCAAAUCAACUGGCAGCUCUGCUGCAACAAGACACCUACAAUUCUGAAAGCAAAAAACCCUGAAAGUGCUAAAGCAAAACAAUUAAGAAGCAUGAGGCAUGGUGACAAUUAACUAGCUAUCUAAACAAAACAUGGUAUUUGAAUAUUAUGGCUUCUUUGGACUGGAUUAACAUUAGGAAGAGCAGAAAUAUGCCUUAAACUCACAGAUGUCAAACAGAGGGAGAUGGAUGUUGCCACUGAAAGAAGCUGCUCCACUACUACUCUGUUCAUGUACUUCCUUCUUCACAUUGCAGCUUCCUCUGCCUCAGUACAAGCAUUCAUACAGCCACAUAGGUAAACCUGAAAUAAUACUGCUGUUUUGUAAUUCUCCUAAUGUAGCUAAUGUAUAAGCUCCAUUAACUCCUGUACUGCUGCUGUAUGGGGCAGGAAUAAGAAGCUGGGAGUAAAACCUCUUCAGUGACAGCGCUAAAUAAUGUCAGUCUAAAGUGACUGACAUGAUGGCUUCAUUCUUACCUGAGGACGAGCUCCUAACACAAGGAAGUGUCAGGAGUUCUUGCUGCAAACAUCACCCCAUGCAGUGGAACAACAUUCUUCUGCCAGUCAAGCACUGAGAAAUAACUGGUAUCUACUUGCAGGCAAACCAAGAAAGCCUACAGGUGAAAGCAAGCAGUACGUACUUCUCCCUUCCUGUGGAAACAGAGCUUCAGUCUCUAUGUGCAGAGUUCACGUUCUCAGACACAUGCUAAUGCAUGAAAUUAUGUAUCACAAUAUUUUAUUCCCAAAUACUUCCAAAAACUACUCUAAUCUCAAAUUCACAAAUGUACAUCAUCAGGUAAAAGCCCGUCUCUUCUAUUAUUUAACGUUAAAGCAAAUAUAUUGUACCACACAGUAAGAAUACAGUGAAAAUUCAUUUUAAUACAUGUUUAUUGGUGUCCUGCACAUUCAGUGUAGGAGGUUGGAGAUGUAAUAAAAAAAAAAGUUUCAAAAUUUAUUGAUUCCAUUUCAUUUAAGUCACUCUAAACAACCAGUGCUUUAGAGUUCAGAGAGUUAACGUGUACUGUCCAUUAGGAGCAAAACUUUAAUAUCUUUUUCGAGUCCACUGAAGACUCCUCUCUCUUAAAAUUCAGAUACAUUCCUCAAAGUAAACAAUACAUUUCAAUCCGUGUCACAAUCACCACUGAUAAGGCCUUCUUAACCAUUUUAUACCACCUCCACUAUUACUUCAUUGCAAAACACAAUCUUAUUUCGUACUAUAAAUAUCCAUCCAUGCACAAAACACAGGGGGCCAGAAGUUACACAUUAAUAUUUCAUGUAGGUUUGAAGACUUCCUUUACCCUAUGCAGGUUUAUGGUACACUUAAAAAGAUAUCUUUAGACUUGGUCUACUUGGUCUUAAAAUACAAAUAUACAAUAUCCAUAAGCAUAAAAAAGUAAAGCUGGAUUGCCUUACAAUUUGUUAUGAACUGCUAAAAUCUUAUACAUGUACAAUAUAGCAUCAUGCUGAUUAAUAUACAUAUUAGUUAAAUAUAUCAACCAAUAAUGGGGAUGUGGUCAAGCUUUAUGUGUUUCAUUUGCAAAAAGAAAUUUGUCGUUUACAAAGUAUAAAGAUUUUUUUAAUUGAAACUUCUCCGGAAUACCUGAACCACAAAGGCCAUCUGUAAACCCUGCUGAGAUAGUCAGCUCAAACCAGGACGUAAUCUGCUGCUUCACUCCUCUGAAAGGGAAUAGAACUCUUCACAAGUGCUACUCAAAGCGUGCUACGCCCAAGAGAGCGUACAUCAAGAACACUACUAUUUGCAUCUUGUUUAUACUUUUUGCAUCGAUUCAUCAUCCUCUAUCAGAAGCAACUCAGUACCUUGACAUCACCAAAUAUUUUUCUAGGUAAGUAGAUAUACAGUACGAAGUGUAGAUAGUGAAACAAGUAAGCACAUAUAUACAGUUUUUGAAAGGCAUUUUCGUGACCAUUUUAGCAGUGUUUAUAGACAACAUUUAAGAUAGUCACAUUCCGCUGAUACCACUGUAUUGCAAACUGUCGAGCCACGUUUUUAUAUUCAACUUGUACUGCAUUGUAUAUUGUACACAAAAGAAAAACAAUCAUUCUUAAGGUGUGACAACAAAGGAAAAAAAAAAAAA